AAUGAACGCUGGCGGCAGGCCUAACACAUGCAAGUCGAACGAGUGGCGGACGGGUGAGUAAUGGCUGGAAAACUGCCUGAUGGAGGGGGAUCACUACUGGAAACGGUAGCUAAUCCCGCCUACCAUCGAAUGAGCCCAGAGGGGAUUAGCUAGUAGGGGGGGUAAAGGCUCACCUAGACGACGAUCCCUAGCUGGUCUGAGAGGAUGACCAGCCACACUGGAACUGAGACACGGUCCAGACUCCUACGGGAGGCAGCAGUGGGGAAUAGUGCACAAUGGGCGCAAUCCUGAUGCAGCCAUGCCGCGUGUAUGAAGAAGGUCUUCGGGUUGUAAAGUACUUUCAGCGGGGAGGCGUUACCCGCAGAAUAAGCACCGGCUAACUCCGUGCCAGCAGCCGCGGUAAUUC
rnacentral:rRNA from 1 species